CAUGCUCCACAAGUAAACCCUAAUGGCCAGCAGAAAGGAAAUGCUUCGAAGUUUGACUCAUGAAGAGUGGACCUCAAAAUGCAUGGUAUACUAACAACUAUUGGCCAUUUUAUUCUGAAAUAUUUGUCCCAGGAGUUCACUUAAUUUGCUGAAGAUAAUGAUGAGCCUAGGACGCUGGUGUGUUUUGAGGCAGUCUCCUAGAAGUCCUGGGAGACUCCGGGAUCUGGUACUGUGUGCAGGCGCGACCUGUAGCUCUGCCUGGUGGAUCUGCAAUUCGAUUUCAGGCCUUUUUCCCCCUCGGCAUUUUUUUUUUUUUUUUUCUCCUGACUACUUGAGAGGAAAAAAACAAAAACUGUAUAAGAAACUCGAGAAGAGACUGUGGGAUGUAGAACCGCACACGUGGUCCUGCAAAUUGGACAGGAGGCUGGGGGAGGCGGGGAAGAGAGGAGAAGUGAAACUAGAAAUUAUGGUGCAGCUUGCGAAUUCGAGAAUCUCCAUUGUUCUUUCCCAGUCUGUAUUGUUUUUGGUUCUUCACAUCUGCACUUAUCUAAUAAAAGCGGAAGAGGGAAGGUAAUGGUCUGAACAGGGACCUGUCUAUGGAAAGAAAUGUACAAGCAGCAAGUCGUGGGUAUUUUUGCUGGGAAACCUCAAAAGAGAUGUGAUUCCCGAGGCUGUUUCAAAGUAGCUGUAGAUUAUUUUACCAAAGAUGACAAACAGCUCCUUUGUCCAAAUCUAAGACACAAAGAUGUAUCAACUCCCUCAAACAGGACAUUUUCAUUCUUUUAGAGAGCAGUCAGGCCCUCAGGAAUUAGAGAAGAUGAAGGAACAUCCUUUUAUGAUAUGUUUUGAGUAGCUACACAGGUAGGCAGAUAAAUAAAAGAAAGUGGAUUGCUUCAGGAAGCUGUUUUGCUUCAGAAUGUACCUUUUUUGGCUAAAAAUAAUUUAUUGUAAAUAAAAGGAAAAAACAAACUUCUGUCAAUAUAGAUGCAUCAUCUGAAAAAUAAACUAAUUUUCUUUGGAAAGGAGAAGAUAAAGUGCUACUUCUUAUAGCUCAAGUCAAGAUUUAAGAAAAAUUAUUUCCCCAUACAAAUGUUGAGUUUUGUUUUUCUUUUCUAACAUGUCUUGAAUUAAACAAAACCUGUAACAAAAUUGUAAUGAAAACUCUGCAUGAUCUAAACAUCCAAAGAGAGAAAUUCUAGAGUGAUUGUAUUUGGGAACCGCAAAGAUUUUAUUGUGGGAUAUCACUGAAGUAGAGGCUGUGAAAGCAGUGAGACUCUCUCUACCUGGGGCCGGGUGGCAGGGGAAGACUUUAGAAAACAUUCUUCCAAUUCAAAAAAAAAAAUAAAAAAUAAAAAAUGCAUAAAAGGUUGGGCUGAGCUUUUUUUUUU